rnacentral:rRNA from 1 species
GCGUGAGUGAUGAAGGCCUUAGGGUUGUAAAGCUCUUUCACACGCGACGAUGAUGACGGUAGCGUGAGAAGAAGCCCCGGCUAACUCCGUGCCAGCAGCCGCGGUAAUACGGAGGGGGCAAGCGUUGUUCGGAAUUACUGGGCGUAAAGGGCGCGCAGGCGGCUGCUCAAGUCAGGCGUGAAAGGCCUGGGCUCAACCCGGGAAUUGCGCUUGAGACUGGGCUGGCUUGAGUGCGGGAGAGGAUGGUGGAAUUCCCAGUGUAGAGGUGAAAUUCGU